UGCCCUAGAGUGCGUAACCGAAAAACAAAGAACUGCAAGCAACUCCUCUGCGAGCUUACCUGUGUCAACCGACAAACGCCGCUGAUUACAGAACCAAGAUAAGUCAAACAAAUCAAGGAGGACCAACUCAAAGAGCUUCAGCUUUAGCUGCACUGAACUCUGCCUUUAAUCCCUCCACUGAACCUGCAGCUUCCUUGUGCAAUCAUUUGUUUUUUAAGGGAAUCUUCUUGUCAAAUGAAGCUAGUCAUAUUACAUGGUCAAAUCUACCAAAAAAAAAAAAUAUUACAUGGUCAAAACAUAUCGAGGACCAAAUUUAUUUCAUCUAUAAUAUGACAUUAAAUACUCCUUGUAAUUAGAGCCUGAUUUUCAUAGCCAAAUAUAUACUUGUAAAUUCCAAAUUCUAUUUGAUAGGUCUUUAGCUCAAAUUUGGAAGAGCAAUUAGAGCAUGAGCAUGUCUCAAGCAUGUUCCAAGAAAUGGUGGUUUGAAUCCAUCAAGACCCUUUAUAAUUUUUAAAUUGGUAAAAUUUGCUAGCAAUAUUGUAUAUAAGAUAGGUGCAGAAUUAUAAUGCCUUGUUAUCCUUAAUCAAUUUCUAUAUGUGACUACAGAUAAAAGUUCAUAAGGUUUUGUCCUUUUAAGAC